rnacentral:rRNA from 1 species
GGUUAAGCGACUAAGCGUACACGGUGGAUGCCCUGGCAGUCAGAGGCGAUGAAGGACGUGCUAAUCUGCGAAAAGCGUCGGUAAGGUGAUAUGAACCGUUAUAACCGGCGAUGUCCGAAUGGGGAAACCCAGUGCAAUUCGUUGCACUAUCGUUAACUGAAUACAUAGGUUAACGAGGCGAACCGGGGGAACUGAAACAUCUAAGUACCCCGAGGAAAAGAAAUCAACCGAGAUUCCCCCAGUAGCGGCGAGCGAACGGGGAGCAGCCCAGAGUCUGAAUCAGCUUGUGUGUUAGUGGAACGGUCUGGAAAGUCCGACGGUACAGGGUGAUAGUCCCGUACACCAAAAUGCACAGGCUGUGAACUCGAAGAGUAGGGCGGGACACGUGGUAUCCUGUCUGAAUAUGGGGGGACCAUCCUCCAAGGCUAAAUACUCCUGACUGACCGAUAGUGAACCAGUACCGUGAGGGAAAGGCGAAAAGAACCCCGGCGAGGGGAGUGAAAAAGAACCUGAAACCGUGUACGUACAAGCAGUGGGAGCACCUUCGGGUGUGACUGCGUACCUUUUGUAUAAUGGGUCAGCGACUUAUAUUCUGUAGCAAGGUUAACCGUAUAGGGGAGCCGCAGGGAAACCGAGUCUUAACUGGGCGUUAAGUUGCAGGGUAUAGACCCGAAACCCGGUGAUCUAGCCAUGGGCAGGUUGAAGGUUGGGUAACACUAACUGGAGGACCGAACCGACUAAUGUUGAAAAAUUAGCGGAUGACUUGUGGCUGGGGGUGAAAGGCCAAUCAAACCGGGAGAUAGCUGGUUCUCCCCGAAAGCUAUUUAGGUAGCGCCUCGUGAAUUCAUCUUCGGGGGUAGAGCACUGUUUCGGCUAGGGGGGUCAUCCCGACUUACCAACCCGAUGCAAACUACGAAUACCGAAGAAUGUUAUCACGGGAGACACACGGCGGGUGCUAACGUCCGUCGUGAAGAGGGAAACAACCCAGACCGCCAGCUAAGGUCCCAAAGUCAUGGUUAAGUGGGAAACGAUGUGGGAAGGCACAGACAGCCAGGAUGUUGGCUUAGAAGCAGCCAUCAUUUAAAGAAAGCGUAAUAGCUCACUGGUCGAGUCGGCCUGCGCGGAAGAUGUAACGGGGCUAAACCAUGCACCGAAGCUGCGGCAGCGACACUAUGUGUUGUUGGGUAGGGGAGCGUUCUGUAAGCCUGCGAAGGUGACCUGUGAGGGUUGCUGGAGGUAUCAGAAGUGCGAAUGCUGACAUAAGUAACGAUAAAGCGGGUGAAAAGCCCGCUCGCCGGAAGACCAAGGGUUCCUGUCCAACGUUAAUCGGGGCAGGGUGAGUCGACCCCUAAGGCGAGGCCGAAAGGCGUAGUCGAUGGGAAACAGGUUAAUAUUCCUGUACUUGGUGUUACUGCGAAGGGGGGACGGAGAAGGCUAUGUUAGCCGGGCGACGGUUGUCCCGGUUUAAGCAUGUAGGCUGGUUAUCCAGGCAAAUCCGGAUAAUCAAGGCUGAGGUGUGAUGACGAGGCACUACGGUGCUGAAGUAACAAAUGCCCUGCUUCCAGGAAAAGCCUCUAAGCAUCAGGUAACAUCAAAUCGUACCCCAAACCGACACAGGUGGUCAGGUAGAGAAUACCAAGGCGCUUGAGAGAACUCGGGUGAAGGAACUAGGCAAAAUGGUGCCGUAACUUCGGGAGAAGGCACGCUGGUGUGUAGGUGAAGUCCCUGCGGAUGGAGCUGAGACCAGUCGAAGAUACCAGCUGGCUGCAACUGUUUAUUAAAAACACAGCACUGUGCAAACACGAAAGUGGACGUAUACGGUGUGACGCCUGCCCGGUGCCGGAAGGUUAAUUGAUGGGGUUAUCCGUAAGGAGAAGCUCUUGAUCGAAGCCCCGGUAAACGGCGGCCGUAACUAUAACGGUCCUAAGGUAGCGAAAUUCCUUGUCGGGUAAGUUCCGACCUGCACGAAUGGCGUAAUGAUGGCCAGGCUGUCUCCACCCGAGACUCAGUGAAAUUGAACUCGCUGUGAAGAUGCAGUGUACCCGCGGCAAGACGGAAAGACCCCGUGAACCUUUACUAUAGCUUGACACUGAACAUUGAGCCUUGAUGUGUAGGAUAGGUGGGAGGCUUUGAAGCGUGGACGCCAGUCUGCGUGGAGCCAACCUUGAAAUACCACCCUUUAAUGUUUGAUGUUCUAACGUUGGCCCCUUACCGGGGUUGCGGACAGUGUCUGGUGGGUAGUUUGACUGGGGCGGUCUCCUCCCAAAGCGUAACGGAGGAGCACGAAGGUUAGCUAAUCCUGGUCGGACAUCAGGAGGUUAGUGCAAUGGCAUAAGCUAGCUUGACUGCGAGCGUGACGGCGCGAGCAGGUGCGAAAGCAGGUCAUAGUGAUCCGGUGGUUCUGAAUGGAAGGGCCAUCGCUCAACGGAUAAAAGGUACUCCGGGGAUAACAGGCUGAUACCGCCCAAGAGUUCAUAUCGACGGCGGUGUUUGGCACCUCGAUGUCGGCUCAUCACAUCCUGGGGCUGAAGUAGGUCCCAAGGGUAUGGCUGUUCGCCAUUUAAAGUGGUACGCGAGCUGGGUUUAGAACGUCGUGAGACAGUUCGGUCCCUAUCUGCCGUGGGCGCUGGAGAAUUGAGGGGGGCUGCUCCUAGUACGAGAGGACCGGAGUGGACGCAUCACUGGUGUUCGGGUUGUCAUGCCAAUGGCACUGCCCGGUAGCUAAAUGCGGAAGAGAUAAGUGCUGAAAGCAUCUAAGCACGAAACUUGCCCCGAGAUGAGUUCUCCCUGAGACUUUAAGUCUCCUGAAGGAACGUUAAAGACGAUGACGUUGAUAGGCCGGGUGUGUAAGCGCAGCGAUGCGUUGAGCUAACCGGUACUAAUGAACCGUGAGGCUUAACCUU